rnacentral:rRNA from 1 species
GCUGUAGCUGGCCUUGGAAACGAGGCAUGUGCACGCUCUUCUGUUUUUCACAACUCACCUGUGCACCUAAUGUAGGAUGCCUCUCUUUCGGGAGGGGGGACCUAUGUCUUCAUACGCCUCUUCGUGUAGAAAGUCUUAGAAUGUUUACUAUCAGAGAGUCGCGACUUCUAGGAGACGCGAAUCUCUGAGAUAAAAGUUAAUUACAACUUUCAGCAAUGGAUCUCUUGGCUCUCGCAUCGAUGAAGAACGCAGCGAAAAGCGAUAUGUAAUGUGAAUUGCAGAUCUACAGUGAAUCAUCGAAUCUUUGAACGCACCUUGCGCUCCUCGGUGUUCCGAGGAGCAUGCCUGUUUGAGUGUCAGUAAAUUCUCAACCCCUCUCGAUUUGUUUCGAGGGGGAGCUUGGAUAGUGGGGGCUGCCGGAGACUAGGAUUCGUCCUUGACUCGGGCUCUCCUUAAAUGCAUCGGCUUGCGGUCGACUUUCGACUUUGCGCGACAAGGCUUUCGGCGUGAUAAUGAUCGCCGUUCGCUGAAGCGCAUGAAUGAAAUGUUCCGUGCCUCUAAUACGUCGACUUUAUUGUCUUCCUCAUUGACUUUUGACCUCAAAUCAGG